AGGACGAACGCUGGCGGCGUGCUUAACACAUGCAAGUCGAGCGGUGACCCUCCUUCGGGAGGUGAUCAGCGGCGAACGGGUGAGUAACACGUGGGCAACCUGCCCCUCACACUGGGAUAACCUCGGGAAAACCGGGGCUAAUACCGGAUACGACCUCGAGCGGCAUCUCUUGAGGUGGAAAGCUCCGACGGUGAGGGAUGGGCCCGCGGCCUAUCAGCUUGUUGGUGGGGUAAUGGCCUACCAAGGCGACGACGGGUA
rnacentral:rRNA from 1 species